GCCCGGGUGGCGGAAUGGCAGACGCAGGGGACUUAAAAUCCUCGGGCCGCGAGGCCGUGUGGGUUCGACCCCCACCCCGGGUA
rnacentral:tRNA from 1 species